CUUUCAGCUCUGUUGACUGCACCACACUUCCCCCUCCCAGGCUGCUUCCACUUGCAGCCUGCAGCUUUCCUCAGCUCUGGCAUCUUCAACGUCUGAGGCAUAAUGACUGCCUCAGUGUCAGCUAUCGUCAUCAGAGAAGAGGGAGACUCACUUGAGGAAAUGCCUCUAUGAGAUCCAGGUUUGCAGUACCUGUGGUGGCCAGAGAGGACUUUGGGGCCCCUGGAACUGGAGCCAGAGGUGGCUAUUGCACGUCUGCCUACAAAGAACUGCCUGGCUGCCAGUUUUGUUGAGAAGGAGAAAGGUAAAGAGACACCCUUUCUGCAGUGAAUUCCAGAACAAAGAUCUGGGGCCUGUUCAAGUCAUCCUAGCUGGCGACGCGGUUUCCUAUCAAGAAAUCUUAGAAAGUCAAAUGGCAUCUGCGAGUUAAUCAGCAGCAGUGAGAUCAGUUAUGAGCAGGUGCUGUGUCACCUUGAAGCGGGAUGGGCAGAUUCUUCUGACGCCAGAACACCGGAAGUUUCCAGGAGUGGCAGGACAUCCGGCUGUUGUUAUUCUUGGCCCUGCCCAGUGCAAGCAUAGAAAAGGCAGCUCGCUUAUUAGGGGUAUAAAUAAAGGCUCAAUUACCUCUUGCCGUGC
rnacentral:lncRNA from 1 species